rnacentral:rRNA from 1 species
GCAAGUCGAGGGGUAACGAUAGUGCUUGCCCUAGGCGACGACCGGCGCACGGGUGAGUAACGCGUAUGCAACCUACCCUUACUGGGGAAUAGCCCAUGGAAACGUGGAUUAAUGCCCCAUAGUAUGUAUGAAUCGCAUGGUUUAUAUAUUAAAGUUCCGGCGGUAAGAGAUGGGCAUGCGUGCCAUUAGAUAGUUGGUGAGGUAACGGCUUACCAAGACAGCGAUGGUUACGGGGUCUUAGAGGAUGGUC